rnacentral:tRNA from 1 species
GGAAAGGUGGCAGAGUGGUCGAUUGCGGCAGUCUUGAAAACUGCUGACUCACAAGGUCCGCGGGUUCGAAUCCCGCCCUUUCCG